UCGCGAAACCUUUGCAAUACACGAAAGUGUGACAGGGUCAUCCCGAGUGCCGACCGCUGAGGUUGGCUUUUACCCAGUCUAGAAAGCUGGGGGAAUAAGGAGAGGGCAAGUCUGGUGUCAGCCGCCGCGGUAAUACCAGCUCUCCGAGUGGUGUGGACGUUUAUUGGGCCUAAAGCAUCCGUAGCUGGCUGAACAAGUCCCCUGUUAAACCCACCGAUUUAAUCGUUGGCUUGCGGGGGAAACUGCUCGGCUAGGGGACGAGAGAGGCAAGCGGUAUUCUCGGGGUAGGGGUGAAAUCCUAUAAUCCCGAGAAGACCACCAGUGGCGAAGGCUGCUUGCUAGAACGCGCCCGACGGUGAGGGAUGAAAGCUGGGGGAGCGAACCGG
rnacentral:rRNA from 2 species